UGCAGAUAUGUCGACACAUAUAUACUUGCAGGCCGGAUCGAGUGCGCGCGGCCCAGACGAUAAGUUUUGUGUGGUCGCCUCUAGCUCGUGAUAGUGCUCAGUCAUGCAAUAUGCCCACAUACAUACAUACAUACAUACAUACAUACAUACAUACAUACAUACAUACAUACAUACAUACAUACAUACAUACAUACAUACAUACAUACAUACAUAC
rnacentral:lncRNA from 1 species